rnacentral:rRNA from 1 species
UUUAUCGGAGAGUUUGAUCCUGGCUCAGGACGAACGCUGGCGGCGUGCCUAAUACAUGCAAGUCGAGCGGACAGAUGGGAGCUUGCUCCCUGAUGUUAGCGGCGGACGGGUGAGUAACACGUGGGUAACCUGCCUGUAAGACUGGGAUAACUCCGGGAAACCGGGGCUAAUACCGGAUGGUUGUUUGAACCGCAUGGUUCAAACAUAAAAGGUGGCUUCGGCUACCACUUACAGAUGGACCCGCGGCGCAUUAGCU